rnacentral:rRNA from 1 species
CAAUCCCUGAGUAGAGUGGCAAACGGGUGAGUAACACGUGGGUGACCUGCCUUCGAGCGGGGGAUAACGUCCCGAAAGGGACGCUAAUACCGCAUAACAUCCUGGUCUUGGACGACCGGUGAUCAAAGCUGGGGAUUCGCAAGAACCUGGCACUUGAAGAGGGGCCCGCGCCUGAUUAGCUAGUUGGUGAGGUAACGGCUCACCAAGGCAACGAUCAGUAUCCGGCCUGAGAGGGCGGACGGACACACUGGGACUGAGACACGGCCCAGACUCCUACGGGAGGCAGCAGUGGGGAAUUGUUCGCAAUGGGCGCAAGCCUGACGACGCAACGCCGCGUGGAGGAUGAAGGUCUUCGGAUUGUAAACUCCUGUUGCUCGGGACGAAAAGCUUCGACCUAACACGUCGAAGUCUGACGGUACCGAGUGAGGAAGCCCCGGCUAACUCUGUGCCAGCAGCCGCGGUAAUACAGAGGGGGCAAGCAUUGUUCGGAAUUACUGGGCGUAAAGGGCGCGUAGGCGGCCUGCUAAGUCGAACGUGAAAUCCCUGGGCUCAACCCAGGAACUGCGUCCGAUACUGGUUGGCUUGAAUCCGGGAGAGGGAUGUGGAAUUCCAGGUGUAGCGGUGAAAUGCGUAGAUAUCUGGAGGAACACCGGUGGCGAA